rnacentral:rRNA from 1 species
GAUUGAACGCUGGCGGAAUGCUUUACACAUGCAAGUCGAGCGGCAGCGCGGGGCAACCUGGCGGCGAGCGGCGAACGGGUGAGUAAUGCAUCGGAACGUACCCAUUUGUGGGGGAUAACUAUCCGAAAGGAUAGCUAAUACCGCAUAAGUCCUGAGGGAGAAAGCAGGGGAUCGCAAGACCUUGCGCGAAUGGAGCGGCCGAUGCCGGAUUAGCUAGUUGGUAGGGUAAAGGCCUACCAAGGCGACGAUCCGUAGCUGGUCUGAGAGGAUGAUCAGCCACACUGGAACUGAGACACGGUCCAGACUCCUACGGGAGGCAGCGGUGGGGAAUUUUGGACAAUGGGGGCAACCCUGAUCCAGCCAUUCCGCGUGAGUGAAGAAGGCCUUCGGGUUGUAAAGCUCUUUCGGCAGGAACGAAACGGUGGGGGCUAAUACCCUCCGCUAGUGACGGUACCUGAAGAAGAAGCACCGGCUAACUACGUGCCAGCAGCCGCGGUAAUACGUAGGGUGCGAGCGUUAAUCGGAAUUACUGGGCGUAAAGCGUGCGCAGGCGGUUCUAUAAGACAGAUGUGAAAUCCCNNNNGCUUAACCUGGGAACUGCGUUUGUGACUGUAGGACUCGAGUGUGGCAGAGGNNNGUGGAAUUCNACGUGUAGCAGUGAAAUNCGUAGAGAUGUGGAGGAACACCGAUGGCGAAGGCAGCCCCCUGGGUCAACACUGACGCUCAUGCACGAAAGCGUGGGUAGCAAACAGGAUUAGAUACCCUGGUAGUCCACGCCCUAAACGAUGCGAACUAGGUGUUGGGGAAGGAGACUUUCUUAGUACCGCAGCUAACGCGUGAAGUUCGCCGCCUGGGGAGUACGGUCGCAAGAUUAAAACUCAAAGGAAUUGACGGGGACCCGCACAAGCGGUGGAUGAUGUGGAUUAAUUCGAUGCAACGCGAAAAACCUUACCUACCCUUGACAUGCCAGGAACUUGGUAGAGAUACCUUGGUGCCCGAAAGGGAGCCUGGACACAGGUGCUGCAUGGCUGUCGUCAGCUCGUGUCGUGAGAUGUUGGGUUAAGUCCCGCAACGAGCGCAACCCUUGUCAUUAGUUGCCAUCAUUUAGUUGGGCACUCUAAUGAGACUGCCGGUGACAAACCGGAGGAAGGUGGGGAUGACGUCAAGUCCUCAUGGCCCUUAUGGGUAGGGCUUCACACGUCAUACAAUGGUCGGUACAGAGGGUUGCCAAGCCGCGAGGUGGAGCCAAUCCCAGAAAGCCGAUCGUAGUCCGGAUCGGAGUCUGCAACUCGACUCCGUGAAGUCGGAAUCGCUAGUAAUCGUGGAUCAGCAUGCCACGGUGAAUACGUUCCCGGGUC